rnacentral:rRNA from 1 species
AAACCUUGCCCACCAGAACGACCCGCGAACCAGUUGCGGAAAUACGAGGGGAUCGCGGGGGCCUCGGUCCCCUCGUCUCCUCGAAACAACAACCAAAACCCCGGCGCGAGUCGCGCCAAGGAAAUUCAACCAGAAGAUCGCCGUCCCGGUCCCAGGAAAGGGGGUCACGGGGCGGCGGCCCUUCGCGUCGAACGAGCAAAAACGACUCUCGGCAACGGAUAUCUCGGCUCUCGCAUCGAUGAAGAACGUAGCGAAAUGCGAUACUUGGUGUGAAUUGCAGAAUCCCGGGAACCAUCGAGUCUUUGAACGCAAGUUGCGCCCGACGCCUUUAGGCCGGGGGCACGUCUGCCUGGGUGUCACGCACCGUCGCCCCAAAACCCACCUCCGCCCGAGGGAGUUACGGGGCGGAUGUUGGUCUCCCGUUAGCCGCGGCUAGCGGUUGGCCCAAAUCGGCAAUCCCCGGCGGAGGACGCCACGACGAUCGGUGGUUUUGGCCCUCGGACUCGGUCGUGCGCGAACUCCCCCACACGGACCCAGACGCGUUCCUCGCGAGCGCUGCCCACGCGACCCCAGGUCAGGCGGGACUACCCGCUGAGUUUAAGCAUAUCAAUAAGCGG